UGCAAGUCUCAGCAGCUGCCCAGUGGUGGGAGAUGGAGAAAAGUAAAAACAAGCAGCCAUGCACUUUGAGUUGGGGGAUCCAACAUGUUCAACAAUAGAGGUCUCCAGUUCAAGCAUGUGUGGUUGGUUACCCCCGAGGCAGCUGCACAACUAUUGUACCAAUGGACACAUCUUGCCUGUAUUUUCAUGCAGUCCAGGCUGGCAAAGAACUAGCACUUCUCUUGCUGCUUCCUCCCACACAUCAAGAUUCCACCGUGACCAGCUCCCCAGACCUGUUCUUCACAGAUGAGAGCUGAGACUUCUCUGAG
rnacentral:lncRNA from 1 species